GUUCGGUGGAAUGAUGAAGAUGACCAGGGAUGUCCUCAAUCUCCUUGAAUCACGCACGCAGACUCUGAAACGAGGACCAAGAAGGAAGAUCUACGUACGUUGAGAUGAUAUUUUGGGCCUUCUUAUUCGCCUUGGAUUAGUUACGCCAACUUCAGCCUUUCCCACCGAUGAGGAUCCAGAGGAUGUGGCUCACCCGUUUUUAACGUGCAGUCCUGUACCUUGUACUCAACGAUGUCGGUACCUACUUUGGAAACCAAAUCGAGUAUGAGGUAAGGUGAGUAUCACGUGAUCGGCAGGUGGAAUGGCUCACGAUGCCUGAUCGUCUACUGGACUGGCAGAGGCGAGACCAGCAAGAAGACAAGAAGCCCUUGACUGAACGGCAUGCUGCACCUGCUCGUGCCAGCUAUUCCCUGAUUCCGAUUCUUCACAGAACCAAUGCGUGGCGAAAAGCACCUGAUUUCCAUCGUUUUACUUUAGCUGGAGAAUUUGUGGAAAGGAUGGAUCGUUCUUUGUUGUUUAGAAAUGAUACUUCUGGUUGUAGAAUAAACCAGAAGGGAUCGUAGAUAACGGUAUUUAUAUUAACGGCCUUACGUAAGAAUUUACGAGCAGCUACUGGCAUAAUUCUACAAAAUUAGAAGUGGCGAACGAAACUGACGUCGAUACUUCAAAUUUCUGUCGUUGUCAGAAGUCUAGGAAAAUUUCAGUUUUAAUUGUUCAAAAAUAACAUGUAUAAAAUUAACGCGAAUGGUCUUGCUUUAUCAAAAGUUAACAUAAUAUCGGGUUUUAAAUGGAACCGAGUACUGAUAAAUAAAUAAUUUUCGUAAUAUGACCCAAGCGACUCUGAUGGCACCAGAAGAAAUUAGGAUUGCGGGAGAAGGACGAAAAAUAAAUUCAGAAAAAAACAGUAUAAAAAUAGAUUUAUAUAUAUAUAUUUAGGAAAUUUGCUGUUUGCGAAUUAUAGCUACUUGAAAUUGGCCAAUCUGGUGGUAUGUGAUGUUUCAGAAGAGGGCUGCUGGUUGCCAUGGACUCGGCAUCUGUCCUUAGCGAUCAUACUAAUACUCAUGCGAUAGCAGCCCUCGCUUAAUUUGCGGCUCAUACCUCAAUCACCCACUUUUCGCACUUGUAGCACAAUAUACUAUAUCAUGACCACCUCGCCUUAGAACAAGGUGUCGACAAAUUUUGAAAUGAAAUAUUUAAUGUAAUAUGCAAGUGGUGGUCUGUUGUGAGUUGUACUUCAACGAGUAGUGAUUCAAUGUGUCCGAGUU
rnacentral:lncRNA from 1 species